UGUUCCCUCUCUACAUGUCCUAACCCUGUCCCUUCCCUCUGUUCCCCCUCGACAUGUCUCUUACCUCUGUCCUCUUCCCUCGUUUCCCUCUCUACAUGUCUCUACCUCUGUCCUCUUUCCCGCUGUUCCCUCUCUACAUGUCCUACCUCUAUCCUCUUCCCCUUUUUCCCUCUCUACAUGUCUCUACCUCUAUCCCCUUCCCUCUGUCCCCCUCUCUACAUGUCACUACCUCUAUCCUCUUCCCUCUGGUCCCUCUCUACAUGUCCUACCUCUGUCCUCUUCCUCUGUCCCCCUCUUACAUGUCUACCUCUAUCCUCCUUUCCCUCUGCUUCCCUCUCUACAUGUCAUCUACCUCUGUCCUCUUCCCUCUGUUCCCUCGCUACAUGUCUCUACGUCUGUCCUCUUCCCUCUGUUCCCUCUCUACAUGUCUCGACCUCUAUCCUCUUCCCUCUGUUCCCCCUCUACAUGUCUCUAACCUCUAUCCUCUUCCCUCUGUUCCCU
ensembl:lncRNA